rnacentral:rRNA from 1 species
UACGUAGGGGGCGAGCGUUGUCCGAAGUUACUGGGCGUAAAGAGCGCGUAGGCGGGUCUUUAAGUGAGGGGUGAAAGGUUCGGGCUCAACCCGGACACUGCCUUUCAUACUGGGGACCUUGAGUGCGGGAGGGGCGAGUGGAAUGGUCGGUGUAGCGGUGAAAUGCGUAGAUAUCGAUCGGAACACCCAUGGCGAAGGCAGCUCGCUGGCCUGCAACUGACGCUGAGGCGCGAAAGUGUGGGGAGCGAACAGG